AGCCUAUUAUGGUUAAGGGAAGCAAGACAAUUCUUCUUCUUAUGACCCUGCUUCCGACAGUAGAAGCAACAUGCCUGAUUUGGAUCGAUUUUGGACUAAUUAUUUUGACGGGACUAAGAAGCCCCAAUACGAACCCAUUUGUACUGCUGAACCAAAUUCAACUUUCGAUACUAAUUAAUGAAGUUGGGUCCCAUAAGUCAUCACUGUCUAACAGCGAUUGGAGCAAUUAAAGUUUAGCUUUAUUUUGAGAAAAGAGAACAAUGACCUAAUGUAUAUGAAUUAUUUUGAGCCUAGAGACUUGGACUUUAGUGUCAAAGUUCUCCCACUAUUUUAUUCAAAUUGGUAGCCUCUACCUCCAAUUCGGGAAUUACUUUAAUUUCUUAGUAGGUACUAGAAUCCACACAGACUACACACAAGCCCGACUUUGAUCGGCCAACCCAUCUGCAUCUACGAGUAGGUUCAUUAACCAAUUGUUUCUCCAAAUAACUUCUAGUAAUUUAAUUUUGCCACAGAAACCUAAUCAGUAGGCUUUGGCCUCUACUGUAAGAAUCCGGUUUGGUCCAACC
rnacentral:lncRNA from 1 species